rnacentral:rRNA from 1 species
AGACCCGAAACCCGGUGAUCUAGCCAUGGGCAGGUUGAAGGUUGGGUAACACUAACUGGAGGACCGAACCGACUAAUGUUGAAAAAUUAGCGGAUGACCUGUGGCUGGGGGUGAAAGGCCAAUCAAACCGGGAGAUAGCUGGUUCUCCCCGAAAGCUAUUUAGGUAGCGCCUCGUGAAUUCAUCUCCGGGGGUAGAGCACUGUUUCGGCUAGGGGGCCAUCCCGGCUUACCAACCCGAUGCAAACUGCGAAUACCGGAGAAUGUUAUCACGGGAGACACACGGCGGGUGCUAACGUCCGUCGUGAAGAGGGAAACAACCCAGACCGCCAGCUAAGGUCCCAAAGUCAUGGUUAAGUGGGAAACGAUGUGGGAAGGCCCAGACAGCCAGGAUGUUGGCUUAGAAGCAGCCAUCAUUUAAAGAAAGCGUAAUAGCUCACUGGUCGAGUCGGCCUGCGCGGAAGAUGUAACGGGGCUAAACCAUGCACCGAAGCUGCGGCAGCGAACGUAUCACCCAAGACAACUUUACGGAGUUGGCGAUUGACGGAGCGAAGCGACGUCAAAGCGUUCAUUAAAGUCGAGUUGGCUUAGGGAUACGUUCGUUGGGUAGGGGAGCGUUCUGUAAGCCUGUGAAGGUGUGUCGUGAGGCAUGCUGGAGGUAUCAGAAGUGCGAAUGCUGACAUAAGUAACGAUAAAGCGGGUGAAAAGCCCGCUCGCCGGAAGACCAAGGGUUCCUGUCCAACGUUAAUCGGGGCAGGGUGAGUCGACCCCUAAGGCGAGGCCGAAAGGCGUAGUCGAUGGGAAACGGGUUAAUAUUCCCGUACUUGGUGUUACUGCGAAGGGGGGACGGAGAAGGCUAUGUUGGCCGGGCGACGGUUGUCCCGGUUUAAGCGUGUAGGUGUGUGUUCCAGGUAAAUCCGGUUCACUUUAACACUGAGGCGUGACGACGAGGCACUACGGUGCUGAAGCAACAAAU